rnacentral:rRNA from 1 species
AUCAAAUGACUCUCGGCAACGGAUAUCUCGGCUCUUGCAUCGAUGAAGAACGUAGCGAAAUGCGAUACUUGGUGUGAAUUGCAGAAUCCCGUGAACCAUCGAGUCUUUGAACGCAAGUUGCGCCCGAAGCCAUUAGGUUGAGGGCACGCCUGCCUGGGUGUCACAU